rnacentral:lncRNA from 1 species
CAUGGGGACGUUGCACAGGGCAGGGAAAGGGGCUCGCCCACCACUGACCCCAUCCCCAUCCCUGCUCCAGCUCAGCCCCAAGUCCGCAUCAUCCCUGCGGAGACGGGGAACGCCCGUGUGCCCGUGCGCCUCAGCUGCCACAUCUGGGGCUUCUACCCCCCCGAGGUGACCGUCAUCUGGCUGCACAACGGGGACAUCAUGGAGCCCGAUGACUACAACCCCAUCUCCAACAUGCCCAACGGCGACUGGACUUACCAGACGCAGAUGUCCCUGCUGGUGGCCCCGGUGGCAGGCGACACCUACACGUGCUCGGUGCAGCACGUCAGCCUGCAGGAGCCUCUCCUGGAGGACUGGAGUGAGUGGAGAGGCGCAGGACCGCACCCGGAGGCCGGCGGUCUUGGCUCCUUGCUGCCACUCACCCGGCCAUGUCCCCGCAGGUCCCGGACUGAUGCCGGAGGUGACGAUACUGGUGGUGGUGGCCACCGUGCUGAUGGUGCUGGGACUUGGCUUAUUUCUCGCCGGCGUCUACCGCUACAAGGCCAGGCCUCCUGCCCCAGGUUACACUCCCCUCCCUGGAGACAACUACCCGGCAGGUAACGGUGUCCCCAUCCCCGUCCCCAUUGGCAAGGGGCAAAUUUCCCCAUCUCUCAACCUGUGUGUCCCCCCCUUCCCCAGGCAGCAUCUGAGGACCCCCAGACGGACACCUCCUGGCACCGGCGGCUCCCAGUUGGCCCCAUCUCAGACCCGAUGUCGAGGUGCUGACAAUAAAGUUGCUCCACAAGCCCCGCUGGUGUCUGUGCAGUGUUCUGGGCACAGGACAGAGGCUCACACAGUCCUACGGUGUCUCACAAAGAGGAGCGGGUGUGUGGGGGACAUGGCAUGGGACCCCAAAGGGCCAAGCGUGCCCUGGGGUGCCUCAGGCACGGCACUGCUGGCUGGCCGAGGGAAGGGAUCGUCCGGCUCUGCUCGGCCUGCUGCGGCCUCUCCUCGAGCACUGCGUGCAGCUGUGGGCACCGCAGCAGACGAAGGGCGUGAAACUGUGCGAGAGCCUCCAAGGGAGGGCUACGAGGACGGCGAAGGCUCUGCAGGGCAAGGCGUGUGAGGAGACGGUCUGCUGCAAGACGCCUUCCCAGGCAGCAAGGCCUCAGGACACAAAGCACCCAGGAAAUGCCACUGCCAGACUCCAUCUUCCUGUACAAAACUUUAUUUGACACAGUCCUGCUGCUGCUGGGCCUUGGAUAUAUAUACUCUAGAGGAAGGAAUAAAGAGCCCCCACAGGCUGCUC